rnacentral:misc_RNA from 1 species
GUGAAUCAUCGAAUCUUUGAACGCAUAUUGCGCCCGAGGCCUCGGCCAAGGGCAUGUCUGCCUCAGCGUCGGGUUAUCCAAUCAUCCAAUUGUGGAUGGACACAUAUGACAGUCCUAUCUCUUUAACUGGAGAGAGGUCUGUUGAAAAACAUGGAGUGCUGUGCCUUUUGCAAUAGCAAAACUACAGCUGAGUAGGCAUUUUCCUUAUUCUAUGAGGUCAUGUUUGCUCGUUAGCCUGUAUCAAAUAAAGCUUUGCAGAUCACUUGGUUUUUAAUGACCAAGUGCGUGCACGAAUGCAUC